AUGGAUAGGCAAGGCAUUUCCUCUCCGGUCUACGACAACAACGACGGCGUGAACAACUACAUCACCAAAAGGUCCAUCUUCGGACUACAACGACAAAUGCAAGGCGCACAAUCAAGAUUGCAAGAGCGCAUUGAGAAAAUCUCCAUCAACAUUUUCCACUCCGAAGUAAGGAAAAGGGACUACAUCUACAACAAGCUUGCCGCACAAAAGGAGGAGCAAGAUGCGAGGAUGGAAGAGAUUCGGGCCUUGAUCAAGUCUUCUUCCACUUCAUCAUCCUCAAGACGACGACGUUCAAGCCACAAGUCUUCGGAGCGCGAAAAAGAUGCAAGUGCAAAUCGUCCUCGUCCACAUCUACAUGGCGAUCAUCAUCACGUUCACGAUUCACAUCGUCAUGAAGGCCAAGUCACCUCCAAGCAACAUGUGGAGCAUCCCACAUUCAUCCCCAUGUACACUCCGACUACUCUCCAAGCCCCAAGGAUACAUAAGAUGAGACCUCGACUAUGCGCCAUUGGACACAAGGUGAACCCGUUCCUAAAUGCUUCCCCUUUCCAUUCGCGUGAGACAUGGUUGCUACCUCAUGCAUGGACCUUGCCUAUACUCAGGUACAACCGAGAUGACCAUGGAGAAUCAAAGGACAAAGGACAAGCAUGGAAGAGGAGAAGGAAGAAGAGGUAG
rnacentral:rRNA from 1 species